rnacentral:rRNA from 1 species
GACGAACGCUGGCGGCGUGCUUAACACAUGCAAGUCGAACGGAAAGGCCCUGCUUUUGUGGGGUGCUCGAGUGGCGAACGGGUGAGUAACACGUGAGUAACCUGCCCUUGACUUUGGGAUAACUUCAGGAAACUGGGGCUAAUACCGGAUAGGAGCUCCUGCUGCAUGGUGUGGGUUGGAAAGUUUCGGCGGUUGGGGAUGGACUCGCGGCUUAUCAGCUUGUUGGUGGGGUAGUGGCUUACCAAGGCUUUGACGGGUAGCCGGCCUGAGAGGGUGACCGGCCACAUUGGGACUGAGAUACGGCACAGACUGGUACGGGAGGCAGCAGUGGGGAAUAUUGCACAAUGGGCGGAAGCGUGAUGCAGCAACGCCGCGAGCGGGAUGACGGCCUUCGGGUUGUAAACCGCUUUCGCCUGUGACGAAGCGUGAGUGACGGUAAUGGGUAAAGAAGCACCGGCUAACUACGUG